rnacentral:rRNA from 1 species
CACGUAGGCACCAAGCGUUGUCCGGAUUUAUUGGGCGUAAAGGGCGUGCAGGCGGUUUGUUAAGUGCAGGGUGAAAGCUCCCGGCUCAACUGGGAGAGGUCCUUGCAUACUGGCGAACUCGAGGGAGGCAGAGGAAAGUGGAAUUCCCGGUGUAGUGGUGAUAUGCGCAGAUAUCAGGAGGAACACCGGUGGCGAAGGCGGGUCUCUGGGCCGAAACUGACGCUGAGGAGCGAAAGCGUGGGGAGCAAACAGG